rnacentral:rRNA from 1 species
GUGGAGUGAUCUGUCUGCUUAAUUGCGUUUCACUAAGGGCCCAUAAAUUCAAGGUGUGUUAGCAAAUGCUGCUCUAUUGACCCCUAAUAGGCUUAAUUGUCUUUAGCGCGUGUCUCUACGAGUUCUUUAAAGCACUGCGCAUGCUGUUGGGUCCUGAAAGCAACGAACGUGACCGCAACGUCCUGUUGCCUCUCUAUAAUACCUUCUUAUUUUUAAUAAGAGUAUUUACCUGAGGCUAUUUUAAAACUAGACGGACCGCUGUUUCUUUCUUAAACCAGAGGAAGGUUGCGGCAAUAACAGGUCUGUGAUGCCCUUAGAUGUUCCGGGCUGCACACGUGCUACAAUGAUCAGUACAGUGAGCAUCUCAAUUUUAUAACACCGUAUUAAGCGCUUGGGUCGUAAUUGUUAGGCCUUUUGGGUUUUUUCAAUUGCGUUUCUCCAAUGCGCACGGUAAAGCCUGCUUCGAGAGUAAGUGGGUAAUCCAUUGGAAGUAAUGAUUUCCUUAUUUUUAUAAACAGCACACCAAUAUACGGCAUUCAUUCCCGAGACGGCUUAGUUCCGACUUUGUGCGAAUGUAAUGUAUUCUUAUCCGUAUGUGCGAUUGUCAAUUCAUGGUGGGGACAGACC